rnacentral:tRNA from 1 species
UUAAUUGAAACCAAAAAGAGGUGUGUCACUGUUAAUGAUAUUAUUGAAUGCUUAUAUUCCAAUUAAA